GCAUGGUGGCUAUUUCCGAUCCCGGCGCCCUGAACUUCUCAGCAAGUGGAAAAUAACCGAGCUGCCCCCACGCCACCGCCCCCCGGGAGGGGCGAAGCGAGGCGAGCGCCGGCCCGCGGGUGACCUCCUGGCACAGCCAGGGGCUCCCCCUCAUGGCUCGCCGCGCCCCAGCUCGCUCUCGGCUUGUGUCAGACGGCGGGACAAUGCUCCAGCUCUCUGGGGAGCCCCCCGGGGGCCUGAGGGGCACAGGGCACUUCCCAAGGCUGAGCCCGUCCGCUGCGGGGGAGGGGGGAGCGUGUGGCAGACGGAAGCCCAACCGAAGAGUCAGGUGGGAGCGGAGGGGGAGGGGCUCCUGGUGCGCGAAGGGAGAAACCCCGGCAGGGACGCCCCCAGCUGGUUCCGAGCCGGCUGCUGGGGAUUCCUGGGCUGCAAGGGCAUGUCUGCCCCGUCACUUCACGUGCUUUAGAAACAAAGAAUUCAUAAGUCCCAUUGGAGCUGCUGGGUACUUACAACACAGGCAUAGAGAAACCAAGGGAGGAGGGUCCAGCUACCUGCGCCAGGCAGACUGAAAUGAAGAGGCAAGGAGGAGGCACUGACAAAUCGUGUAUCCCAAACAGCUAAAGGAAGACCUUGGCACUCUUGGUGCUUCUGCCUAUGACAGAAUCCAUCUGCAGCAACUACAAUGCUUUGGCAGAUACUUGGGCAAGGCUGCCCUGUCCACAUGUUUACUAAAACCCUAAAGCACUUCCACUGUAAUCUCUGGACCCUAGUUCAGUCUCCCUUAUAGUCUAAGGUACCAAUC
rnacentral:lncRNA from 1 species